UCACCUGAACCUGGAGAGAGGGAUUUCGAUGCUGGUAGGAAACAUGCUGAUUUAUCACCUCCAAGGCAGCGACGGAGACAUCACAGGACACAAUCACCUGAUGCGAAUCCUGAUUCCUCACCUCCUCGUAAGCAGAAGGCUCGAAAUGAUACACCUUCACCAGAUCCAGCAAUGAAAGAUGAUGAUUUGUCACCUCCUCGCAAGUGGAAAGCUCAAAAUGAUACACCUCCACCAGACCCAUCAAUGACGAAUGAUGAUUUGUCACCUCCUCGUAAGCAGAAGGCUCGAAAUGAUACACUGUCACCAGACCCAUCAAUGAAAGAUGCUGAUUUAUUGCCUCGACAGCGUAGGCAAAAUCAACAUUACACCCCAUCUCCAGAACGUCCCCAUGAUUCUAAUACGUCCCCUCCUUGUCGAUCU
rnacentral:lncRNA from 1 species